AUCGAACGCUGGCGGCAUGCUUACACAUGCAAGUCGAACGAGUGGCGAACGGGUGAGUAAUACAUCGGAACAUGUCCUGUAGUGGUGCAUAGCCCGGCGAAAGCCGGUUAAUACCGCAUAUUACAGGGUUGGCCGAUUGCUGAUUAGCUAGUUGGUGGGGUUAAGGCCUACCCAGGCGACGAGCAGUAGCUGGUCUGGGAGGACGACCAGCCACACUGGGACUGAGACACGGCCCAGACUCCUACGGGAGGCAGCAGUGGGGAAUUUUGGACAAUGGGCGAAAGCCUGAUCCAGCAAUGCCGCGUGUGUGAAGAAGGCUUCGGGUUGUAAAGCACUUUUGUCCGGAAAGCGGUACCGGAAGAAUAAGCCACGGCUAACUACGUGCCAGCAGCCGCGGUAAUUC
rnacentral:rRNA from 1 species